AGUUUGAUCAUGGCUCAGAGCGAACGCUGGCGGCAGGCUUAACACAUGCAAGUCGAGCGGGCGUAGCAAUACGUCAGCGGCAGACGGGAGAGUAACACGUGGGAAUGCGCCCUUCGGUUCGGAAUAACUCAGGGAAACUUGAGCUAAUACCGGAUACGCCCUAACGGGGAAAGAUUUAUUGCCGAAGGAACGGCCCGCGUCGGAUUAGCUAGUUGGUGAGGUAAUGGCUCACCAAGGCGACGAUCCGUAGCUGGUCUGAGAGGAUGACCAGCCUCACUGGGACUGAGACACGGCCCAGACUCCUACGGGAGGCAGCAGUGGGGAAUCUUGCGCAAUGGCCUAACGGCUGACGCAGCGACGCCGCGUGUGGGAUGAAGCUCCUCGGAGUGUAAACCACUGUUGCCCGGGACGAAUAGCUCGAUUAAUCGAGCCUGACGGUACCGGGUGAGGAAGCACCGGCUAACUCCGUGCCAGCAGCCGCGGUAGUCGGCCCAAUCGCC
rnacentral:rRNA from 1 species